AACAUGCAGGACACUGGGCCUCGAGGACUGGACCUGAGAACCACUGUACUAAGGUACUGACAAAUUAGCAAGGAGUAGGAGUGAUGUUGGCCGUGUGGCAGUAUUUCUUGUUUAAGUCUGAAAAAGACGUUGCAGCAAAGUGCGAAACUUGUCAUGCACAACUUUGUGAUAAUAUCAGAUCAAUAUUGGUAUCGUAUCAGAAGAAAAAAUUUGUAUCAGGACACCCCUAUUAUCUUUAGAUGCAUUUCAUUCAAGAAAGAACCCAAACAUCAAACUGUUAGUUAAUUACUACAUCCAGUUACAGUGUACUUGAACAGCACAAUUAAAACAAGCAAUCACAAAAUAAAAUGUUAGAGCCCUUUGUCUGUAACCGUGGUUCUUAACUGGUCUCACUCUGGGACCCACAUUAUCCCAUGGUCCUCAAGUCCCAACUCACUUUUAUGGAAUUAAAACCAAGCAAAUUUAUUUUUUAUUUAAAAAAAAAAAAAACUUGAAAGGCUCAAAUCUUCAACACAAAUACACCCAUUUUAUUGAGUAAAGUGCAUUUCAGAGCACAUGAACUGAGGACGACAGCUACAGAAAAUAUCAAAUAUCAAAUAAAUAUCAAAUUGCACAAAAUAAGCUGUUUUUCAAAAUAAAAGACAUGUCAAACAUCAGAUGCGCAUUAGAUAUUUACUUUUUUGACCAGCUGUUUGCGACCCAUUCAGAAUGUGUCCGCGACCCACUUUUGGGUUGGGACCCACCAGUUGAGAACCACUGGUCUAUAAGAUAACAGCAUACACCUGAAGUCUUCCAAAGAAAAGACCAACAACAGAAAUUAAAACCUGAGUCACUGUGCAUUGUCUCAAUCCACUGGUGACCAUCCUCUCUUCCAUACCCACAGCGUUAUCAGCGCAGCAGCUCAACUGCUUUCGGUCGGCUCUAAUCAGCGCUCUCAGCCUUCACAGCUAGAUCUGUCAAGACCGCUGUGCUCCGAGAGGCAGUGGGAGUUUGAUACAGAGUGAAGGAUUGUUGGCUGGCAGAUGACUGCACAUGGUGCAUGAUCUCUGCAAAUCCUUAAAACUGCCAGUAUUCAAAGGAAAAAGAAAAUACGAGCUGUCUAACAAUCACUGCUUGUGAUUUUUCUAAUUAGAUCAUAAGUUAUCAAUUAAAGUGUCAUAAAUGUUUACCAAAAAUGAGCAGAUCCUUCACUUUUAUGAUAUACUGUGUGCAUAAUUUGUAAAAAGCAGUAAGUUAUAAUUACUCAUGUGGUGGUAUUGUUAACAAGCCUUUAAAAAUAUAAAACAUAAAUGGAAAUUCCAAGUCUCUACAUCAUGUCUGCCACAGGCUGACUCCACUCCAGACUCAUUAAUCACACAGUAAGGCACACUUUCGCCGGCCAAUAUUACCUCAGAGAUGUGAUAUCAAAUUGCAAUGCAAUAUCACAUCAAAGCUCAAUAACAUAUUCUGUCAGAACGGAGAGAAUUCUUGAAAAAAAUGAAAUGACAUCUAAUUUGUCAAGAUUCUGUACUGCUGCUUCAUAAAACAUUGAAAAAGAAUGACUUGUGCUGUCAAGAGAUUUGACAGGCAAGACAGACUUACUGAAAGAAGGCAGUAAAAGUCCAGCACAGGCUUUUUUUUCCACAGACUUUGCCAGGAAAAUAUCGCAAAAAUGCUUCUGGUGGAACUAUGACAUGGUAGGCUACAUACUUCAUGCACCCUUUGUUAGAUCAAACCAAAGAGAGAAGGUACAGAGAUUUGAUGAGAUACGACAGCCCUGAGAGCCUCUGAUUCAGAGAGCCUGAUUACAAUUGUAAGACUACUGCGGCAUUCGUUGUACAUUUGCAUCAUUGUUGACCAAAGAUGGAUGCAUUAUUUCAAAACCCAAAAACAAGAAUGUUUGAUUUUGGAAUAAAUCUCUACAUAAAAAUGCAACAAUGCACGUCUUUUGGACGACUCUCUCUUUGUUAGUAUUUCAACAUUUAGUUCACUAAAAUAUUCCAAGAAUGAUGAAGAAGGGUGUAAACACUGCGCUCAUUUAUAAUUCUGGAGUUAAAUGAUCAAAAUCAUCAAACGUUGAACAUACAGAAAAGUUGUAUGUCUUGAUACAAGUUUGUCACUUCCCGACAGAUUUACCAAAUGAUUUUCUCUUUUUAAAUUUUUAUGAAGAGCUCUCUUACAAACGAAAGUCUGUUUUUCUAGCAACGACAGCAACUUUGGACCAAACGAACCUUCUCACAGAUAUCAUGACCAACAGAACCAUGACCCCUGACACACCUCACAUCACCUCAUGUUCACACAAAUUAGAUUUCUUCAUGGCAAAAAGUCACUGCCAGAAUCAAUUGACUGCUUCAUGACUAUCGCUGUGGUUAAGGGUCCAAACAAUCCUCAUGCCAAAACCAUCAACAUCUCAGGUCAGGAAAACUUCCGAAGUGGUUAUAUCCUUGAUUUUUCUCUAAGGAGUAAAACUGUCAGACGUUAACAAGGAAGUAAAGGUUUAAAGAAAGGCAGAGCACCUUCUGACUGACAAGCUGUUGUAAAUUUCUUUCUUUCAUUCUGGCUCUGGAUGAUCAAACUUGGACUCUAUAAUGUUGUACCCAUUCCACACUGUUGGCGUCAAGGUGUUUGUAUAUCUGUGAUUAUUUACAAUAUAUAAAGCUGUGCAUUCCUGUAAUGGGGCACUGUUUAUGAAAUGACUGGCAAUGUUUAAUAAUGAACAAUGGAAGCUGUUGUAUAAUCAACACUUGCAGAGACUCCUGCAACAUAACAGUUUAUGCCACACUCAGUAUGAAAUGUCACGAGGAAAAACAAUCCAAUCAAGUGGAGCAGCCUUGACUAAAAACAAAAACCAGACCAUCAUUGCAGUGUUGCCAUAUAUCGGUUCUUUCUAAAUAUUUAACGGGAGUCCCAGGUCAAAAGAAAACAUGUGAAAGCGCUCAUGUUAUUGGACUAAUAGGACAGCUUUCCAAUCUGCAAAUGUUUAGCGGUUGGCUUCAUUUAAAUGUGCGUCAGGUAUGAGGCUCCAUCAUUAAAAUAAUGUAAGACUUUUUCAAGGUCUACGUUUUAAUUUUACAAUGUCAUAUCAGCAGUCACACAGUGAACAUAGCCAAAGUCUAACUACAGCAAUAAAUGUGUCAACUUAUGACUCCUUCCAACUCCUUACAAUAACUACUGAGUGGCAAUAAAAUACAAAUACAGUAAAAGAAAUAGUAAAGGCUGGAUAAAUGUAAUGAAAUAACUCAAGAUGAGACACAGCCAGGAGGCAUGGAGACCAGUUACAGCGAACGACUAGAUUUGCCAAAAAUUUGUCAGAGACCAACACAAGAGGCCGUGAAUGAAAGCAGCGCUGACAAUGAGCAUGAAACGGUCACAGGACAAUGUAUUGUGUUUUUACUGUCAUGCUUUCUUAGCAAUGGCUAGACUUCAAAGAGGAAUUAGUCUUAGAAAACCGAAUAGUUUGGACGGCAUUAUCAUUUUUUUUUCAAAACAGAGAUAAGUAUUUUGCAUGCGGACGUCUGUGUGUGUUAACAAGUUGUAUGCGGCGUUUAAUGUGGUACUUUUUGAUCUAUAUUCCAAGAGGCCUCAAUAACAGCUGAGACAACUGUAUCAAAACAAAUAAAUGGAGCCAUUGAUCAUACUAAAUUGACCUAAAUCAUGAAGAGUCAAAUACCCUAAAGUUCAAAAUGUGAGGUGCAAAGAGAAACUAAAGUUACAGAGGUGUCAUUGUUCCCAAAGAUUUUCAGGGGCCAAAAUGUGAGAUCACGUCUGUUCCCAAUUUUAGAAAGACAAGGGACAAGGACUUUUUAUAACAUGUGGUGUUGGUUCCCUGAAGAUAAAAGCACACAAUCAAAACACAGUCAAAACUACCAGCCAAGGGGGACCAAUAGUCACAACAACAAAAGUUUUUUCACAUGACCCCUUUUUUAAACAGUCAUUUAAUCACUGUCAGCAGAAAUCAAAUAAUGCUGGGAAAGCUAGAAACAGCAAGAAAACAAAUAAACAAAAAUAGAAACAGUGAUUAGUGUUUGGUUCCGUCUGUCACCGAGCUGGCAGAAUGGGCUACCCUUGAUAUCUGUAAAAUCACAAAAAUGUAGACGCAUGUUCACUGUAAGACUGUUAGCUAUGACUUCAAUAUUAAAGCAUCUGGAAAAAUACUCAAAGAAGAGAUGGGAUAUCUCACUAUAUGAUUAACAUAUGAGAACAUUAUUUUCAAGAGGAGUAAAGCAUGGGGGGGCUACUUAUACGCUACUUCACAUUUCAGCAUACGCACGGUAUAUAAGACGCUAUAGAUCAAAACACCAUGGGUUUGCGUUGGCAUCAAAUUUCUCAUGUCCUCCCCUUUUGAGACCACGGAGAGAAGACACAAUUAAAUGUGCACCUAACUCAUUUAAGACCAGACAGGGGGAAGAAAUGUACCCAAACAAGUAAGAAGUAAAAUACAACACAGCCCUGGAAAAAGUCCUUAAAUUUCUGAGCAAAAGCUUAACAACUACCAAAUGUGAGAACACCAAAUGAAUGUCAACUUGUUUCACUAUUUCUGUUCUCAAUAACUGGAAGAGAAUGAUCUUAAAGGGUUUAUGGUUUCUUUGUGGAUAAUCUGAAGGCGAUGCACACACACACACCGUGUGAAGCAGGAGCAUCGGAAUCAGAUUAGAUGUACAAUGAGAGCCAGGAAAUUGACCAUCGAGCUAUUUUUAAUGUCCGUCGCUGCUGCAACUGAGUAUGCAUCCCAGAUUCUUAUAAAGCAAUUCAAGCUAUACAAUAUUUACAGCUUCCUUGGGAAAAUAUUAUGCUGAUCUGUGUGUCAGAUGAGUACAUGGAAGCAGAGCUAGAUUUUUCCCUAGGAAACACAAAGGAUACGCACAGGGUAGGAUAAACAAACAGAAAAGACAAAGCACUUUAUUCACAAAAAAAAUCCCCUUCACAGAUGCUUGAUUUCAAACAUUUUGUUAAAUAUAAAUUCCCAACUUUCUCAAUACUUUGACUGCAGUUUAGUGUGAAGAUCUCAAGCACUUAGAGGGCUGUGUUUAUUUGCUCAUAUGGGUGUUAAUGGUUAGUUUUCAAUUCUGCGUUUUACUUGUUUGUUGUUGCAAAGUCCAAAAGUGUUCAAAUUUUCUGUUAGUAGUUGGUAUUUCUGACACAUAGGAGCUGUAAACAGCUAAACCACUCUAUCUGAUUACAGCAUCGCCACUGGAGAGAAAAUAAGUGGGUGCUGUGUUGAGUUCUGUCAAUUUGAUGCCAGACUCUGGACGCGAGGAUCUGUAAGGGCUCCGUCAACACGCUGAACAAAGUGGGAAAUAACAGUGAGAGUGGAAAGCUUGCAGUCUAAUUUGUGCCACCUGUUUUCUGUCUUGACAUCAUCAGAUGGAAACCUCUCAGGUUCUUGUUCAUGCCUCGACUCUUUGGUCACCAUUAAAACAUCAGAAAGCUGGCACUGGCAAGGCCGGAGGCAAACAACACAUGGCCUACUGUUUGCAGUGUUUUAAAGGAUGUCAUGGAA